rfam:Schistosoma curassoni strain Dakar, Senegal genome assembly, scaffold: SCTD_scaffold0000832
AUCCAGCUGACAAAUCUCAAAUAGGACGAAACACACGUCAAAUUGGAU